rnacentral:lncRNA from 1 species
UCCAUCAAACAUACACGUAUUGUGUUUCCAGGAGAGCUGGGGGUUAUCCAGGGCUCUGAAUAAUAUGCUACCAUCAAGAUGAAACAUUUUCCUUCUCAAGUAACUAGCAAUUUAGCUAGGAGAGGCUCCUCUGAUGCCUAAGAAGGAGGGUGAAGACAGGUCAGUGAGGAAGUACAGCCUGCAUGCAGACCAGGAAGCCUGAAACCAGCCAGACUCUUCUGCAA